GAGUUUGAUUCUGGCUCAGGACAAACGCUGGCGGCGUGCAUAACACAUGCAAGUCGAACGAAAUCUACAUGAUUUAGUGGCGAACGGGUGAGUAACACGUGAGAAACCUGCCUUACACAGAGGGAUAGCCGUUGGAAACGACGAUUAAUACCUCAUGACACCGUGACAUCGCAUGAUGAUGCGGUCAAAGAUUUAUCGGUGUAAGAUGGUCUCGCGCCUGAUUAGCUGGUUGGUGGGGUAACGGCCUACCAAGGCGACGAUCAGUAGCCGAUCUGAGAGGGUGGACGGCCACAUUGGGACUGAGACACGGCCCAAACUCCUACGGGAGGCAGCAGUGGGGAAUUUUGCACAAUGGGGGAAACCCUGAUGCAGCGACGCCGCGUGAACGAAGAAGGCCUUCGGGUUGUAAAGUUCUGUCCUUGG
rnacentral:rRNA from 1 species